UAAAAAGCUCGUAGUCGGACUUGUGUCCCACGCCGUCGGUUCGUCGCCCGUCGACGUAACCGCACGGUUAUGUGAGUGGGACGUCCAGCCGGUGGGUCGUCAGGUCGCGCGCUUUGCUGGCCGCGCCCCUUGGCGGUGUCCACACCGCGGCCUCGCCGUGGCGUGUGUCGGUCGGGCGCUCGCGUCAGGCUGGCCCGCCGCUCAAGCGGCGUGUGUCGUGGGGCCCGCCUCGGAGGGUGUCGCUGUGUCGGCGCGUGCGGUGCCGGACCCAUGUUACUCGUCUCGGUGCUCUUAAUCGAGUGUCUUGACGGGCCGGCUCUUUUACUUUGAACAAAUUAGAGUGCUUAAAGCAGGCCAAUUGCCGCCUGAAUAUUGUGUGCAUGGAAUAAUGGAAUAGGAUCUCGGUUCUAUUUUGUUGGUUUUCUGAACCAGAGAUAAUGAUUAAUAGAGACUGACGGGGGCAUUCGUAUUGCGACGUUAGAGGUGAAAUUCUUGGAUCGUCGCAAGACGAACAGAAGCGAAAGCAUUUGCCAAGAAUGCUCUCUUUGAUCAAGAACGAAAGUUAGAGGUUCGAAGGCGAUCAGAUACCGCCCUAGUUCUAACCAUAAACGAUGCCAACUAGCGAUCCGCCGGAGUUCCUCCGAUGACCCGGCGGGCAGCUUCCGGGAAACCAAAGUGUUUGGGUUCCGGGG
rnacentral:rRNA from 1 species